rnacentral:rRNA from 1 species
GGGGAAUUUUGGACAAUGGGGGAAACCCUGAUCCAGCCAUCCCGCGUGUGCGAUGAAGGCCUUCGGGUUGUAAAGCACUUUUGGCAGGAAAGAAACGUCGCGGGUUAAUACCCUGCGAAACUGACGGUACCUGCAGAAUAAGCAUCGGCUAACUCCGUGCCAGCAGCCGCGGUAAUACGGAGGAUGCAAGCGUUAUCCGGAUUUAUUGGGUUUAAAGGGAGCGUAGGCGGACUAUUAAGUCAGCUGUGAAAGUUUACGGCUCAACCGUGAAAUUGCAGUUGAAACUGGUCGUCUUGAGUGCAGUAAAGGUGGGCGGAAUUCGUGGUGUAGCGGUGAAAUGCUUAGAUAUCACGAAGAACUCCAAUUGCGAAGGCAGCUCACUGGAGUGUAACUGAUGCUGAUGCUCGAAAGUGUGGGUAUCAAACA